UACGGAGGGUGCAAGCGUUAUCCGGAAUCAUUGGGCUUAAAGGGUCCGCAGGCGGUCUUAUAAGUCAGUGGUGAAAGCCUACAGCUCAACUGUAGAACUGCCAUUGAUACUGUAGGACUUGAAUUCGAUCGAAGUGGGCGGAAUGUGACAUGUAGCGGUGAAAUGCUUAGAUAUGUCACAGAACACCGAUAGCGAAGGCAGCUCACUAGGUCUGGAUUGACGCUCAGGGACGAAAGCGUGGGGAGCAAACAGG
rnacentral:rRNA from 1 species